UCUACGGGAGGCAGCAGUGGGGAAUAUUGCACAAUGGGCGGAAGCCUGAUGCAGCAACGCCGCGUGAGUGAAGAAGGUUUUCGGAUUGUAAAGCUCUGUCAUAUGGGACGAUAGUGACGGUACCAUAUGAGGAAGCCACGGCUAACUACGUGCCAGCAGCCGCGGUAAUA
rnacentral:rRNA from 1 species